GAUGAAGAACGUAGCGAAAUGCGAUAAGCAGUGUGAAUUGCAGAAUUCAGUGAAUCAUCGAAUCUUUGAACGCACAUUGCGCCCCUUGGUAUCCCGAGGGGCAUGCCUGUUCGAGCGUCAUUUCACCACUCAAGCCUGGCUUGGUGUUGGGCGACGUCCCCUUUGGGGACGCGCCUCGAAACGCUCGGCGGCGUGGCACCGGCUUUAAGCGUAGCAGAAUCUUUCGCUUUGGAAGUCGGGGCCCCGUCUGCCGGAAGACCUACUCGCAAGGUUGACCUCGGAUCAGGCAGGGAUACCCGCUGAACUUAAGCAUAUCAAUAAGCGGAGGA
rnacentral:misc_RNA from 1 species